rnacentral:rRNA from 1 species
GGAGUAGUUUAUCCCCUAAGACUACAAAAUUAACUUUUAGUGUAAAAAACAAAUUAUAACUAAACCCAAUCUAGCCAUAAAUAAACUAUUCCAACAAACCAUAACCUCAGAACUCGGAUUAGAUACCCGACUACUGUAUGGCCCAACACAUAAAAGAAUACUACGAGCGAAAGCUUAAAACUCAAACAAUGUGGCGGUGCUUUACUCCUCAUCAGGGGAUCCUGUGGCUUAAUUCGAUAAUCCACGAAGAUCUUAGCUACUCUUGUUUACAGCUUGUGUAUGGCCGUUUAUGCUUGCUCAUAGAAGAAAAAAAAGGAAGCAAUAGGACUAAUUACCCAAAAAUUCAGGUGACAUACAGCCAAUGAGUAGCAGAUCCAUGGGAUACAAAUAAACAUACUACCAGAUUUUAAAACCUAAAACUUUAAUGAAGGAGGACUUGAAAGUAAGAUUUAUCCUUAUAUAAUAUAGAUCUGGACAAGAACUAAAGCGCGCACAAAUCGCCCGUCACUCCGACAAUAAAGUCGGAUAAGUCGUAACAUAGUAGGGGUAAUGGAAAUUGCCCCUAUCACA